GAUUCUCGUGUCGGGCAGGAAAAAUUCUAGAAUGCAACAGGUAUAUUAGUGACGUGGCGUAACAAACCAAUCAAAUUAAUCUUUUUAAGAAUAUAUGUCCCAUCAUAAUUGUAAAAAAGUAUUUUUAUUGUACUUUUGUUUAAAAAGAAGAAAUGUGAUUGGCUUGUUAUUGAUGACGUUAUGCAAGUGUGACAAUGUAGAAUUCCUCGUCGGGCAGAGUGUGUUAGACUUUUAUAAGAAAUCAAGAAUGUGACUUCUGUCAUAAUUUUAAUUUUUAUAUUCGAAUUAAAGACAGUAAUUUUUAUUCGUAAUUCGUUUCCGUUCAAAAUAAUGAGACAUUUCGAGCCUAAUUUUUUUAUUCCGAAGAUAGAGCCGUCACAAAAAUUAGAAUUAGGAUUAAAUCAUACAUAACUUAAUAUAAGGAUAUAAUCUAUUCAUCAAGAACGUGUCCAAAUAUAUUCUAACCGUUAGAUUUACCAUAUUUUUAUAAAUUGAUUUAAAUAGACCGACUAUAUAUAUAUAUAUAUAUAUAUAUAUAGAAUUAGGCUAAUAUACUAUUAAUAGCACCAAUCUAUUGGUGCUAUUAAUUUUUUUGUCCUUGGAUUGAGAUAUGUGUGGUUAGGAUGAUAUGGGGCCUCUAGGAUUGAGUGAAUGGUUGGUUGAAUAAUAUAAUCUAAGGGGUAAAAAUAAUCAAAUGAUUAAAUCUAAUGAUGAAAAACUCAAUAGUACUAAAUUCUUGAUGCUAUCGAUAGCAUUCCAGCUUGG
rnacentral:lncRNA from 1 species